UACGUAGGGGGCGAGCGUUGUCCGGAUUUAUUGGGCGUAAAGAGCUCGUAGGCGGUUUGUCGCGUCCGCUGUGAAAUCCCAGGGCUUAACCCUGGGCCUGCAGUGGAUACGGGCAGGCUGGAGGCAGGCAGGGGAGAACGGAAUUCCUGGUGUAGCGGUGAAAUGCGCAGAUAUCAGGAGGAACACCGAUGGCGAAGGCAGGUCUCUGGGCAUUAACUGACGCUGAGGAGCGAAAGCAUGGGGAGCGAACAGG
rnacentral:rRNA from 1 species